rnacentral:lncRNA from 1 species
AGAUUCAGGGGGCUUUGCUCUGCAGAUGAUGAACAAUGGAAUCAAACAUUUAAGCUGUGAAUAAAUAAUUACUCAUUUCUCUGAUCUUUUGCGGCAAGACACCAACACCUGUCUUUAUUUUAAUUCAUUUCCCAGUGUGUUGUGGCGAGGAUGAAAUAGUGUAUCCUAGGAUGCCAGGGGAAUCCACCGUCUGCCACCGCGAGCGUGAGAAGCCAAUCACCUAUCACUGGUAUCACUGGCAUCCCGGCCAUAUAUACCCUAGAGUUGCAUCAAUGGAAGGUGUUGUGGAAAUUCAGUCAUUCAGUUCAUUCAUGAUAUGAUUUCUAGAUUCUUCAGUGUCUCAUAUUUCAGACAAUUAUAAAAUUGCGAUGCUAUAUUCUUUAUUUCAUGUGUGCAUAUUUAAAUGUGUUAAGUCAAUCACUAGUGCUACAACCAGAGGAGUAAAGGUGUAUUUCCAUUCCAGAUUUGGGUUUACUUUUAAUAGUAAAUAACAUCUCAGUGCAAAUUGUAGACAUUUUGCUGAUUGUUAAAACAUUAAUUAAAAAGGAUCUUUUUCUGAGACAGUGUUGCCAGGUUUGUAAAGUAAUGGACAUCACUUCAAACUGUUUGGAAGUAACCGAAAAAUGGAGGAAGUGGCAACAAAACUUUCCAUAUACCCACCUUCCUCAGUAUUUUUUGGUGAUCCCAUCUUUGUGAGUGUGAUAACGCUCGUAACAAUGACUGAGCCAAUAGUGAUACAUUCUUAUGAACAGAAGUCCAAGGUUAGCAUCAGUGACUGAGCCAAUAGUGAUACAUUCUUAUGAACAGAAAUCUAGGGUUAGCAUCAAGGUUCACUCUGUGUUGUCCAGCCUAUGGGUUUUGACAAACUGACAAUGUCUUUUGUCACCCUGACGGAAUAAUUUCACAUCCUACACAUGACCUGAGCUGCAUCUACUAAUUCCUCUCCUUUUCUGAGGAUUCCUGACAACUAUGGAUGAUUUUACUGCCUCUAUAGGUUUCCUUUUCCAGAAUUGUAUAGAGUUGGAAUCAUAGAGUAUGUAGCUACGUAUAACUAACUUAUUUUACUUAGCAAUAUACAUGUAAGAUCUUUUGUAUCGUUUUGAAGCUUAACAGCUUAAUAAUUCUUAUCAGUGAACAAUAGUCCAUUGGUUUCAUCGAACAGGGUUAGUUGGUUCACUCACUGCCUGAAGACCAUCUGAGCUGCUUCCAAUUUGGGUAAUUAUGAAUAAAGCUGCCCACAUUCUUGUGCAGAUUUUAAGAUGAACAUAAUUUUCUAAUUUAGCUGGGUAAAUAUGUAGAAUUUUGAUCACUUGCUGGUAAGACUAUGUUUUCCAUUGUGUUAGGCAGAAUUCACCAGUACAAUUAUGUGGGCAUUUUUUUUUAAGUUAUUACUUCCUGAUUAAAUUCUAUAAUGAUAGAGGCCUACUCAGAUUAUCUAUCUCUCCUUUGGGUGGUUAUGGUAGUUUCUCCCUUUGAAGGCAUUUGUCCAUUUCAUCUAAGCUAGGAAAUUUGUGGGUGUAGACACUUGAAUCUGACAAGUUGCCUGCUUGGUUCUCAUCAAAGGCUACUGUGCUUCCUGUCAUUCCUACUCUCAAACUUUUCAAUAGACUUUCACUCCUGCACUUAAAAAAUUGCAGGCAUAGAUUUGUUGAAAGUAUUCUGUUAUUAUUUUCUUAAUGAUUAUGGGAUCAGCAAGGAUAAUUCCUCUUCUAUUCAUAUUGUUUGUACAUCGUGUCUUCUGUAUUUUCUUUGUGAUUAGCCUUGCUGGAGGUUUACCAAUUCUAUUGAUCUUUUCUAAGAAGCAGCUUUUGGUUUUGUUGAGUUUCUUUAUUUUAUUAUUUCUAUUACAUUGAUUUCUGCAAAUAUUGUUAUAUUUUGGGGGAGGAGUGUUGCCUGGUUUACAUUACACUACACUUUUUUCUCUAGUUUCCUAAGGUGGAAAGUAAGACAUCUGGAUUUGGAUUACAUUUAGUUUACUGCACAGAAUUGUGAAUGGCACUGAUGCCCCUGAAGUGUGCACUUGAUUAUUAAAAUAAUAAAUAUGAUGUAUUUUGGCCACAAUACUGAUUUUAAAGCCAAUUAAAUGGAUGAUAAGUACAGGAGGAGCAUAUGUAGAUCAAGGAAAGAUAAAUGACAUUAUAACAUUUCAACAACAAAAGAAAUUUACCGGGCCUCAAAAUGCACAAGGGGGUGAUGGGACACUGUCAUGAAAUCAGCAGUGCAUUUGUGUGCCACCCUGUGUGAACUCUGCCUUUUUUGCAGUGGUGUGGGGGCUUAGCCAGAGAACCAGGUCCUGACUUCUGUGGCUUCCUGAUGGUCUCAUUUGCCUUCCCUCAUCACCCAGGAGGGUGUCCCAGUGGCAGCCAAGUUUCUACCCUUAACCCACCUCCUUUACACAUGCCAGCCCCCUGUCCUUAGCAUCCAAGGUUGCCUAAGGGAUUCCUUCAGUGGAACCAACAUGAUGACAGUUACUCUGUGUUUCCUAGAUUACGAUGAGGACCUGGUGCAGGAAGCUUCAUCUGAAGAUGUCCUGGGCGUUCAUAUGGUGGACAAAGACACAGAGAGAGACAUUGAGAUGAAACGGCAACUACGGCGACUACGGGAGCUCCACCUAUACAGCACAUGGAAGAAGUACCAAGAGGCGAUGAAGACAUCCUUGGGAGUUCCACAAUGUGAGCGUGACGAAGGCUCCUUGGGCAAGCCAUUGUGUCCACCCGAGAUACUCUCGGAGACGUUGCCAGGCUCUGUGAAGAAAAGGGUAUGCUUUCCAUCAGAAGAUCAUCUAGAGGAGUUUAUAGCAGAACAUCUCCCUGAAGCAUCCAAUCAGAGUCUCCUCACUGUUGCCCAUGCAGACACAGGCAUCCAAACCAACGGUGACCUGGAAGACCUGGAGGAGCAUGGGCCAGGGCAGACAGUCUCUGAGGAAGCCACAGAAGUUCACAUGAUGGAGGGGGACCCAGACACACUGGCCGAACUUCUGAUCAGGGAUGUACUUCAGGAGCUGUCCAGUUACAACGGCGAGGAGGAGGACCCAGAGGAGGUGAAGACAUCCUUGGGAGUUCCACAACGUGGUGACCUGGAAGACCUGGAGGAGCAUGUGCCAGGGCAGACAGUCUCUGAGGAAGCCACAGGGGUUCACAUGAUGCAGGUGGACCCAGCCACGCCGGCAAAGAGUGACCUGGAAGACCUGGAGGAGCAUGUGCCAGGGCAGACAGUCUCUGAGGAAGCCACAGGGGUUCACAUGAUGCAGGUGGACCCAGCCACACUGGCAAAGCAAUUGGAAGACUCCACCAUUACAGGCAGCCACCAGCAGAUGUCAGCAAGUCCUUCCUCUGCACCUGCAGAAGAAGCAACAGAAAAGACCAAAGUGGAAGAGGAAGUGAAAACCAGAAAGCCCAAGAAGAAAACCAGGAAGCCCAGCAAGAAAAGCCGGUGGAAUGUCCUGAAAUGUUGGGACAUUUUUAAUAUAUUUUAGAGACCUCUGAAGAUUCCUCGACCACCAGGAAGGGCCCCGACGUGGGGAUGUCAACAUGGCUCAGACUUGAUGUGGAUCGUGAUCAUUUCGGGAAAUGUGUUACUCCAAAAACUUUUAUAAUCUUUGCUUAAUUUGUUUUUAAAUACUUUCCUGGCUGGGCGUGGUGGCUUAUGCCUGUAAUCCCAGCACUUUGGGAGGCCGAGGCGGGUGGAUCACCUGAGGUCAGGAGUUAAAGACCAGCCUGGCCAACAAGGUGAAACCCCGUCUCUACUAAAAAUACAAAAAUUAGCUAGGCGUGGUGGCGCACUCUUGUAGUCCCAGCUAUUUGGGAGGCUGAGGCAGGAGAAUCACUUGACCUCAGGAGGCGGAGGUUGCAGUGAGCCGAGAUCAUGCCACUGCACCCCAGCACCUGGCUACAGAGUGAGACUUUGUCUCAAAAAAAAAAAAAAAAGAACAAAAAAAUUCUGACUUUAACCUCUGUUUUUCAGAGGGCACAAAUUGUUCUUGUAUUGUUUCCAUUUUACAUUUUUUUCUUGAAGUUAUUUUCCAAUUGUUUUCAUUCUUUCUGAAGUUUUGUUUACUCGGUUUUAAGUUUUUGUAAUUUUGAUAGACUUUUGUGCUUUCAUUUUCUUAAUGACUUUUACCUCAUUUUUAAAACAAAUCCAUAGUAUGGAAUGAUGGAAUAAAGCAUACGAAGUAGAAGGACUGGAACCUCCAGAAAAAGUACUUUAAGUUACCUACAGGUGAUCCUAGUCAGGCAAAUGAAAACAGUAGCCUAAAGUGUCAGUUUCAACCAGAAAAUAACAGCUCUGAUUUCUCAUGGCUCAUACUCGUCUGAAACGACUCAGGUAGAGGCUGAGGAAGGCCGUGUUGUUUGUCUACCUGGGACUACACCUACUGAAAGAAGUUCUCAAGUUCUGAUUGAGUUCUAAAAUUUUUUGAAGAUUGGAAUUCUUCAUAUGUAAAAAGAGAAGAGAAAGACAUUCUUGAUUUUGGUGACUAGAGUUGUAGAUGCUGGAAGCUUUGCCACUAACAUUGAUGAACCAGAUGCAUGUCACCAGCCCAUCACGGUGAUUCUUAAUGCCGGCACCAUGGGCCCGGCACUGCCACGUUUUCCAAGGAACCUGCCGGAGCUCCUGCGGAAGCUGCUCCUCAGGCGAUGGAGUCCCUUCGCUGGUAGGCCCUUCUUCAGUCACCACAGGAUGCCUGCCAUUCAUGAACAAGAAGGAGAGGACGGGCUUUGAAUAAAAAACAGGAUCCAGGAAAUAUUUGUGAGGCCAUUUGGACUUCAGUGUGAAAUGGUGUUAAAAGAUGAAGUCAUUUAUUCAAGAAGUAAACCUCUGCCACCUGGACUGUGCGCAGACAUUUCAUUGAUUUUGUUUAAUAAACAUUUUCUGGCUUUGGGAGGUGUCUCUCUUGGUAGAACACAGUGUCAAAGAUGGACAAGAUGGACACAUAGUCCAUUAUUUGGUAUUGUUUGUGUAUGGGAGCAGACCACAAAUUAAUGUUUGGAGAACAAUUUUGUCAUAACACACUGUUGAGGCUCAGUUGUACAGAACUGGAAAAGUCUUCAGCUUGGCACAUGUCCUGAUUCAGCCUUUGUUUAACAUAUAUUCCAAUCCGGAUUCUAUCUUCACUGGCUACAAAGACCACCUGAUACGUGCACCACGACACAGGAGCUGCUGGAGAGGGGGUAGUGUUAUCACCUCAAACCCACAGCCAUAUUUUUCAAAAGCCAGCUUAGAGAGAGGUGUACUGAUAGCUGCAUAGAGAACAUGCAGUCCAUCCAUUCUUCCCAGUGAUGUACAUUUCUCAAUCAGUAACCACGUGGUAUACCAGCCUUGAGUGUCACAUCUCCCAACCAUACCAAAUGGAUCACCUAACUGGAGGUGGGGGGGGCCCUCAGAAAUGAGAUUUCGUAUUUACUGUAAAAUUGCCUUAUUUUUUCUUUUGAGGUGGAGUCUCACUCUGUUGCCUGGGCUGGAGUGCAAUGGUGUGAUCACUGCUCACUGCAACCUCCGCCUCCUGGGUUCAAGCAGUUCUCCUGCCUCAGCCUCCCAAGUAGCUGCAAUUACAGGUGCAUGCCACCACUCCCAGCAAAUUUUUAUAUUUUUAGUGGAGACAGGGUUUCACCAUGUUGACCAGGCUGGUCUCAAACUCCUGACCUCAGGUGAUCUGCCCACCUUGGCCUCCCAAAGUUCUGGGAUUAAAGGUACGAGCCACCGCAACUGGCUGAGAAUCUUUUUAUUUGCUGAUUUGUCUCUUGUGUAUUUUCUUUGUUCAGAUGUCUCUUCAGAUCUUUUUCUCACUUUUAAAUUGUUUUUUAAUUGUUAAGAAUUUUCUGUCUAGUUUAGAUAUAAGCCCUUUAUCAGACAUGUGUUUUGCAAAUAUUUUCUCCUAGUCUGUGGCUUGUAUUCUGUCUCUUAACACUCAUUUUAUUUUUACUUUUGGAACUAAAGAAGAAGAAUGGUCAGCUUUCCAUUAUUCUUGUAACAGUAAUGGCAGAACCAAGUCUGCUAAUGCUACACUGAGCAAAGAAAGUCACCUGGUGAAGUCCAACAUUAAUGAAAUGGGGUAGUACAUGCAGGCAGCGUUGGGGGUGGGGAGGGAACAAAUGCUUCUUGAGAGUAAUAUAAUCUGCCAUACCAUCCAGGAACCUACAAUGGCUAUCUAUUACCUUAUUCUCUGGUUUGUUUAAUGUUCGAAUCUUUCCGAAAGAUCCUUCAACCUUUCUGGAAGAAUCUAAUCUGAUAACACCAUCAAAAACACAUUACUUCUUUUGGCAUAAUUUAAAUUGUAAGACAUCAUUCACAUUUAUCAAUGUUACAUAUAUAAGAACUCACCCACCAUAUUCUUCCUUGAGGAAUUACAGCAUGUAAUUCUAUAAUCAUUUUUAUAAUCGUCUAACAAUUUUAUAAUGGAUUGGUUGCUUACUAUCAAUUUUUUAAAAGUCAUGGCUUCUCCAGUCAUUUCUUGCUUAUCGAAAUUAUUUCAUGAGAUGGGUCUCUCCUUGUAUAUUUGAAAAUGAGGUUUGCUUCCUUCUACUUAAAAAACAACUUGAACAUACCUGUUUGGAUCACAUGGUCUUGUCCUGAUAACUUGGAAGAGGUUGCUUCAGCAUUGUUCUUAUUGUUGUGGUGGUUAUUAUUAAUAUUGUUUCAUAUUCUGUUUAAAAAAUUAAAAUUUUACACAAGACCAAUGUCUUCUUUUCAAUUCCAGUACAUUUUUCAGAAGUAACUAAUGCUAUUGGCUUUGUGCAUUGUAAUUUCAGACCAUUUUAUAUGUCUUUAGUUAUAUGUACAGUAUACACACAUAUGUGUCAUAUUAUUCCAUUUUUUCUAGCAUUAAACAUUGCUAUGGAAAACUCUCGGAAAAAUAUUUAUUUGAACAGAACUUUUUCUUUUCUCAGAUGUACCCUCCUUAGGAAUCUUUCUUUGAUCCUUGAAGUUUGGUAACAACUUUAAAUAUGUGUAUCCCAGCUGGGAGCAGCGGCUCACACCUGUAAUUUCAGCACUUUGGGAGGCCGAGGAGGGUGGAUCACCUGAGGUCAGGAGUUUGCCUGGCCAACAUGGUGAAACCCCGUCUUUACUGAAAAUACAAAAAGUUAGCCAGGUGUGGUGGCUGGCACCUGUAAUCCCAGCUACAUGGGAGGCUGAGGCAGGAGAAUCGCUUGAACCUAUAGAGACAAGGUUUCACCAUGUUGACCAGGCUGGUCUCGAACUCCUGACCUCAGGUGAUCCACCCACCUCAGCCUCCCAAAAUGCUGGGAUUACAGGCAUGAGCCAUUGCACCCAGCCAUACAGGAGCAAGUUUAAAAAUUAAAUAUUUAUUUGAAUAACAAGCUUACAUUGGAGCUGCAAUGUUGGCAAUCCAGAUUUUGAACACGGAUCACAAAAAGCAUGCAUAAAAUCCUACUGGCCCAGAGAACAAAACACUGCUCAGAAUUAAGCGAAAUAGCUGCUACUGUUAAGAAAACAGGCCUGAAAUCAAUAUACAAGAUUUUAAAAAAUGUAUUGGCCGGAUGCAGUGGCUCAUUCCUGUAAUUCCAGAACUUUGGGAGGCCAAGACAGGAGAAUCACCUGAGGUCAGGAGUUCAAGACCAGCCUGGCCAACAUGGUGAAACUCCAUCUCUACUAAAAAUAAAAAAUUAGCUGGGUGUGGUGACACAUGCCUGUAGUCCCAGCUACCUGGGAGGCUGAGGCAGAAUAAUUUCUCGAACCCAGGAGGAGGAGGUUUGCAAUGGCAUGAUCUCUGCUCACCGCAACCUCCGCCUCCCGGGUUCAAGCAAUUCUCCUACUUCAGCCUCCCGAGUAGCUGGGAUUACAGGCAUGUGCCACCAUGCCUGGCUACUUUUCUGUAUUUUUAGUAGAGACAGAGUUUCUCCAUGUUGGUCAGGCUGGUCUUGAACUCACAACCUCCGGUGAUCUGCCUGCCUCGGCCUCCCAUAGUGCUGGGAUUACAGGCAUGAGCCACCAUGCCUGCCCAUGAAAGCACUUUUAAAAAGAGAGCACCUCUGCUGCCUGGUCAUAUUCUGUACCUGUUCCCAAACCCUGAAACCAGUGAUGUCAAUGGCUGCGUGGGCAUUGAACGUGUACAUGAUUCCUGCAGCUUUCCUGUUGACCUGGACCAUGUUCAUCAAUGCUUUUUGGUACAUUAAUUCUACAUCUUCUUCGGUGACCACAGUUUAUGUUUAUUUCAUUUUUCAGGAAUAUCCAGCCACUGGUGCACAGCCAUUGCCACUUGUGCCCCCAGGGGAUCUUGUCAACUCCAGUAUGUCCCCCCAGCACUGUGUUAUCUGGCAUAAUAAAUGUAGUUGGGCUGUAGUUGUAGUGACUCCUCCCAAAACAACCCAGGAGUUUAAUACUGUUUGGCCACCGGUUACAGACAUUGCUGCCCCUUCCGCUGCGGCUUUAAAAGCCUAUCUAAUCGGCUGGGUGUGAUGGUGGCUCAGACCUAUAAUCCCAGCACUUUGGGAGUCCAAGGUGGGUGGAUCACCUGAGGUCAGGAGUUUGAGACCGGCCUGGCCAACAUGGUGAAACCCCAUCUCUACUAAAAAUACAGCAAAUUAGCUGGGCGUGGUGGCGCAUGACUGUAAUCCCAGCUACUCGGGAGGCUGAGGUAGGAGAAUUGCUUGGGUGGCAGAGUAAGACUCCGUCCCAAAAAAAAAAGUUAUCUAAUCAGGGACGUCACCUUUCCCUGCCAGUCAUUUUGUUACCAAUGAAAGAAAACAUAUUCAAAUCAAUUUUUAGUUCAGAAAAUGUUUCUUUCAUUGUAUCUUUGAAUUUUAUUGUUCUGCAUUUUUUACUUCAAAAACACCUACUAUAUGCAUUUUUUCUCUCGUUUCCUUUUUUUUCCAAGAAAUGUUUUUGUCCUUUUGAUUUUUUCACUGACCAUUACCAUUAUUUAUAUACCAUGUACCUGGAGAGUUUCCAAUGUUUCUCUUUGGUCUGAGAUACUUGCUAUGAUUUUCACUUUUUAAAUGCUCUUUUGAGAUUUGUUUUGUGGCCUAAAAUGUGGUCUAUCCUGGAGAAUGUUCUGUGAGCUGAUGAGAAGAAUGCACGUUCUGCAGUUGGUGGGUGAAAUGUUCUGUAAUUACCUGUGAGGUCCCUUUGACUUCUCUUGGAGUCAGUCUGGUCUGUUACUUUUCUGCCUAGAGGGUGUGUCUGUUGCUGAAAGUGGGUGUUGGAGUCCCCAGCUAUUAUUGUCUGUCUCUGUCUGUUGCUCGAAUAACUCUUACUUUAAUAACUGGGGCUCCUGUGUCAGGUGUGUUUACAUUGACAACUGUCCUACCUUCUUGCUGAAUUGAUCUCUUUAUCGUUUUAUAAUGACCUUUAUUUUCUAUUUUUGUGCUUUUUUGACUUAAAGCCUACUUUGUGUGACAAGCAUAGCUAUACAUACUCACUUUUGGUAACACUUUUCAUUUCUUAUCAUCUUCAUUGAAUCUCACUUCUUCACAUUUACCAAAAUGUCUACUUUUGAGCUGUGGCACCUCUUUGAAUCUUCAGAUCCACCACAUGCUGAUCAAGCCUUCCUUUUUGUCUGUACUCUGAGGAAUCCCAAACAGGCAUUUUUGCAAGAAAGUCUAGGAGGGAAACAUAAAUCUAUGUGUCAAAAAAAUGAACAUAGAAAAUAAUGUGUCCUGGUUAACAAAAGUUCUCAUUGUAAAGUGUUAGGCACAAGACUAUGGAAUUUCAUGUGCCAUAAAUAAAAUUGUCUUGAUUUGUCUAAAACUACAUUUUGUCUAAAACUACUUUUAAAAAUUACAUGUUACUCUAAUA